ensembl:lncRNA
UCCAUGGGUGCCAGGGAAGCCUCCACCUCAUCUCCAUCACCCAGAGGGCCGAGCCCAGCAGCAUCUCCCAAACCACCAACUCGACCACCAGCAUCACCAGCUAGCUCUGAGUCUGAGCAGCCUGAGGCCACUCACAAGGCCGAUGUGCCAACCGAUGAUCAGCAGCAGUUGCUGGCCGACUGGUUGAAGGACCACCCAGAGAUAUAUACGAAGGGCUCUAGGGAUUUUAAAAACACGGAGAGGAAGAAGAGGAGGUGGGAGGACAUGGCCAAGGACCUUGGAGUUAGCUAUGAGGAGCUCAUUAGGUGGUACCAGGACUCGGGUUGGGAAACUCCUCCACACAGUCUCAGGGCAGGAGGUUGACAUGAGCAAGACGGACAGGGGCAGGUACCUGGUGGCCACCUUUCGAUUCCUCCUGGAUCACAUCGUCCGUCAGCCAACCAGAGUGGCUCAUAGUUUGAAGGAGAAGAUAGCAGCUUCUCAGCCCUCAGCUACCGUGUCCAGAGCACCGAGGUCCUCGGAUGGGUCCUCAGAUGAAGGUCACAUGUCGGAGCCGAUGGACAUACUGACACAGCCAGAACCAGAGGGAGACACAAGUGGCCCUUUGACCUCCACAGACCGUUCCACCAAGAAUCCGUUGAACCACGAGCCCAGAUUUGUAGCCCAGCAGGAGAGACGUCGGGCUGACUACACUGGCAUGGCGCCUCCCAGGAGUACUAGUGUAGAUUCUAUGUGGGGGGGACCAGGGCCUUCUGGACCUGAGGCCAGUCUGGUACGACCUGAGACCACUGCACCGAGAUCCUCCAGCACUCCCACUCAGCUGGAUGCGCUGAACAUUUCCGGACUGUCCUCCCUGUCCUUUAUGGCCCAGUUGGCAUCUGAGAGGUCGAACUUGGAGACCCCCAGUGACCCCCCGGAGCAUGAGUAUCAGGACUAGUGUUAUUGUAAUGUGAUAAUUGAUGUUGUUUAUACGUUAGUGUGAUUGGGUCAGUGUUAUAUUGUUGAAAUUAUUUGAUAUGUUUUUAUUAUGUUCUAAUAAAUCCCCCAC